AUUGAACGCUGGCGGCAGGCCUAACACAUGCAAGUCGAGCGGAUGAAGGGAGCUUGCUCCUGGAUUCAGCGGCGGACGGGUGAGUAAUGCCUAGGAAUCUGCUUGGUUGUGGGGGAUAACGACCGGAAACGGGCGCUACUACCGCCUACGUCCUGCGGGAGAAAGUGGGGGGUGUUCGGAACUCACGCUCUCAGAUGAGCCUAGGUCGGACUAGCUAGUUGGUGGGGUAAAGGGCUACCUAGGGGACGUUCCGUAACUGGUCUGAGAGGCUGAUCAGUCACAUGGGAGCUGAGACGCGGUCCUGGCUCCUACGGUAGGCAGCAGAGGGGAAUGUUAGGCAGUAGGGGGAAACCUGGUCCAGCCGGGCCAAGUGUGAUGAAGAAGUCUUCCGAUUGUAAAGCACGUUAAGUUGGGAGAAAGGGCAGUAAGUUAAUACCUUGCUGGUUUGACGUUACCAACAGAAUAAGCACCGGCUAACUUCGUG
rnacentral:rRNA from 1 species